UGGCUCUCCCAUCGAUGAAGAACGCAGCGAAAUGCGAUAAGUAAUGUGAAUUGCAGAAUUCAGUGAAUCAUCGAAUCUUUGAACGCACAUUGCGCUCUUUGGUAUUCCGAAGAGCAUGCCUGUUUGAGUGUCAUAAAGACCUCACCUCACUGGUUUUUUAACUAGCGGUGGUGGUUUGGACGCUGCCAGCUUUGGCUCGUCUUAAGUGCAUUAGUGGACGAUAGCGUGAUGAGUCUUCGCUUACUGCCCACUCUAAUCACCCUUUAUCUCUGACCUCAAAUCAGGUAGGACUACCCGCUGA
rnacentral:misc_RNA from 1 species